GGUCACAUCCCGUUUAAAUACCGGUUCUCGUACGAUCACUGAAGUUAAGCAACGUCGAGACUGGCCAGUACCUAGAUGGGUGACCACUUUGGAAUACCAGGUGCUGUA